AGAACACCUGUGAGAUCCAGACAAGAUGCAGACAGCUUGCAGCCUCUUCAGGAGAAGCAUUCACAUGCACAGUGACAAGAAAUUCAAGGUCCUCAGAUUCCUGACUGUAUUUUGCUGCCUCUGUGCAGUUUCUUCUUAGCCUAAGAAAUUGACUUCUAGGGAUGUUCUUCAGCCAAAUUGCUCCAUACAUCAAAAGGAAGACACAUGUCCGUCACUCCUUCAAAAACG